AUGCUUUCUCUAUCUCAAUUCUCUCUCCAAUUUCUCUUUAGUUUAUAACACGUUAUCAGCACGAAUUCGCUUUAACAAUAUCAGCUGAGUUCUCUGAUGAAACCCAAAUAUCUUAUCCCUCCUUCCAUCCAAUGCUACCCUCUCUCUCUCUCUCUCUCUCUCUCUCUCUCAACUCUGAAUUCCAUAUUGAAAAGAAGAAGUCAACACCAUGGAGAUUGUGGCGGGACCUUUUGCAGAGGCUUUGCUAGAGGAAGGAGGGAAAGCAAAUUCAGCCAUGGUUUCUCUCCAGCUCAAAUCCAAUCAUUGGCUGCCAUCUGUGAAGCUCUGGUACCUCCUUUGUCACUGGAAGACACCAUAAACAACAACAAUAACAACAAGGAGGAAAGCCCAGAUGACCAAGCCCUUCAUUCCAUCUACAGAGCUUCUGGGUCUCAGCCUCCUAUACCAGAUGAGGUAGCAGAAUUGAUGCUGAAGAGGGCUCUACCAGAAGUUAUGGAGGGAAUGAAGCUAUUUCUGAAGAUGCUGUCAUUCAGAUUAGGAACAUUAUUACUAUGUGGGCAUCGUUGCCUUAGUUGGAAAUGGCCAUUCAUCCACAGCUUCUCUGAAAUGUCUUUGGAGAAAAGAGAAGUCCUCAAGAAAUGGUCAAAGGAAAAGCUUGUGCUCACACUCAGAUUGAUGUUCUUGGUGGUCAAAAUCUUCUGCCUCUACACCUUCUUCUCCAGGAGCUCUUCCCACGCAAGUUCUCUUCAUUACCACAGGACAAAUUGGGUUAUUUGGGUUCGGCAACGGGAUGAAUUUGGAGAAUGGUGUUUAAAGUUGCUGAAGAAACAUCUUUCUAAAAUGGAAAGGCACUGGAGAUCUAGCAAAGCAUG
rnacentral:lncRNA from 1 species